CAGGGACGACGCUGGCGGCGUGCUUAACACAUGCAAGUCGAACGGUGACGAGGAGCUUGCUCCUCUGAUCAGUGGCGAACGGGUGAGUAACACGUGAGCAACCUGCCCCAGACUCUGGGAUAACAGUUGGAAACAGCUGCUAAUACCGGAUACGAGACGGAGAGGCAUCUCUACCGUCUGGAAAGUUUUUCGGUCUGGGAUGGACUCGCGGCCUAUCAGCUAGUUGGUGAGGUAAUGGCUCACCAAGGCGACGACGGGUAGCCGGCCUGAGAGGGCGACCGGCCACACUGGGACUGAGACACGGCCCAGACUCCUACGGGAGGCAGCAGUGGGGAAUAUUGCACAAUGGGCGAAAGCCUGAUGCAGCGACGCCGCGUGAGGGAUGACGGCCUUCGGGUUGUAAACCUCUUUCAGCAGGGAAGAAGCGAAAGUGACGGUACCUGCAGAAGAAGCACCGGCUAACUACGUG
rnacentral:rRNA from 1 species